UCGAUACCCGGGACCCCUUCAUCUAGUUGUCGUUUCGUGCUCAUUCGUGCCCAUUUCAUAACGAAGGGCUGAGGGGCCUUCAGAGCAUAUCGACGGAGUUCGGCUGAAAUGGCCACUUAGCAUGCAAAAGCCUUGUAAUAUCGCCAUGCCAGGGAUUGUUUUAAUUACUUAUGACUGUACAAAUACUCCAAACGUAAGGUUUCGUUAAGUCUGCGCUUGUCCCAGAAUGAAGGGCUG
rnacentral:lncRNA from 1 species